GUGAGGUAACGGCUCACCAAGGCAACGACGGGUAGCUGGUCUGAGAGGACGAUCAGCCACACUGGGACUGAGACACGGCCCAGACUCCUACGGGAGGCAGCAGCAGGGAAUAUUGCACAAUGGGCGAAAGCCUGAUGCAGCGACGCCGCGUGAGGGAUGAAGGCCUUCGGGUUGUAAACCUCUUUCAGGAGGGACGAAGCGAAAGUGACGGUACCUCCAGAAGAAGCCCCGGCCAACUACGUGCCAGCAGCCGCGGUAAUACGUAGAGGGCGAGCGUUGUCCGGAUUCAUUGGGCGUAAAGAGCUCGUAGGCGGCUCAGUAAGUCGGCCGUGAAAGCCCGGGGCUCAACCCCGGGACGCCGGUCGAAACUGCUGUGGCUAGGGUCCGGUAGAGGAGAGUGGAAUUCCCGGUGUAGCGGUGAAAUGCGCAGAUAUCGGGAGGAACACCAGUAGCGAAGGCGGCUCUCUGGGCCGGCACCGACGCUGAGGAGCGAAAGCUAGGGGAGCAAACAGGAUUAGAUACCCUGGUAGUCCUAGCCGUAAACGUUGGGCACUAGGUGUGGCGGAUUCAUUGAUGUCUGCCGUGCCGUAGCUAACGCAUUAAGUG
rnacentral:rRNA from 1 species